CACCAGGUGAGCCCUAGUAGAGGAAGCUCCCCUGGGAAAACUGAAAGAGCUGUCUGAAGCAGGAUGUCCUUCAGAGUGGAGGCCACACAGUUCCACAUAGUGGAGGCCGCACAGAAGAUGUCAAAGUACCCUUGACCCUUGAUGAGCUUCCAGAGAAAUACAAAGCAUCAGUGCAGCCAAAUAGCACAAUUCUGGAGGAUACAACUGUAAAACCCAAAUAAAGGUCACUAAUUGGGGAGAAAACAUGGUUUCCAGCUUUGCAGAGAUUUUAGCAGAGUAAGCCCUCAUUAGAGAAGGAGCAUUCUUUGUCUUGCACCAUGGGAAAUCUCUGCAGGUUGACAUCCACGUACUCCUGACCAGCAACCAAAACAAAGAGAGAUGUGAGGCUCCUACCAAGAAGAAGGAAGAUCCUUAGGCCGUUCUUGCUCCGUAUGAGAACAACACCAGGUUUAAAAUACAUCUAAGGUACUUUGUCAUCCUACAUAUGAUUAAGAACCAAUAGUGAUGAUAAAAGUGGAUGGAAGGCCAUUGUUUUGGACUCCAGUCCCACACUAGGCCUCAGCAGACCAGACCAAGCCUGAAAUGAGUCUUCUGUGAUUUGAACUUUCAAGUGCCCUUCAAAAUUCAUGGUUGACACUGAGGAAAUCAGUAU